GACGACGCUGGCGGCGUGCUUAACACAUGCAAGUCGAACGAGAGGACAAGAGAAGCUUGCUUCUUUUGGAAUCGAGUGGCAAACGGGUGAGUAACACGUAAACAACCUGCCUUCAGGAUGGGGACAACAGACGGAAACGACUGCUAAUACCGAAUACGCUUGGGAGACCGCAUGAUCUACCAAGGAAAGGGUGGCCUCUACCUGUAAGCUAUCGCCUGAAGAGGGGUUUGCGUCUGAUUAGGCAGUUGGUGAGGUAACGGCUCACCAAGUCGACGAUCGGUAGCCGGACUGAGAGGUUGAACGGCCACAUUGGGACUGAGACACGGCCCAGACUCCUACGGGAGGCAGCAGUGGGGAAUAUUGCACAAUGGGCGAAAGCCUGAUGCAGCAACGCCGCGUGAGGGAAGACGGUUUUCGGAUUGUAAACCUCUGUUUCGGUGACGAACAAAUGACGGUAACCGAGUAGGAAGCCACGGCUAACUACGUG
rnacentral:rRNA from 1 species